GACAGAGGGUGCAAACGUUGUUCGGAAUUACUGGGCGUAAAGCGAGUGUAGGCGGUCUGUAAAGUCGGGUGUGAAAGCCCCGGGCUCAACCCGGGAAGUGCACUCGAAACUCACAGGCUAGAGUAUCGGAGAGGUUGGUGGAAUUCUCGGUGUAGAGGUGAAAUUCGUAGAUAUCGAGAGGAACACCGGUGGCGAAGGCGGCCAACUGGACGAAUACUGACGCUGAGACUCGAAAGCGUGGGGAGCAAACAGG
rnacentral:rRNA from 1 species